AUGGAAAGUGUGAAAAAGUGGUUCAUGUCUUCUCAAGCUUUUCUAAGCAUGCUCUUAGUGCAAGUUUUUGCAACUGGAAUGCAACUUUUGUCCAGGAUCAUUUUGGUUCAAGGAAGUUAUAUUUUUGCAAUUACUACUUAUCGCUAUAUUGUAGCUGCUAUUUGCGUUGCACCAUUUGCACUCUAUCUUGAAAGAGGACUAGUAAAGAAGUUCAAUUGGAGAGUUUGGUUAUGGCUUUUCAUUAAUGCAAUGAUUGGGUAA